AAACAUAAUGCACGAAAAGAACUAAAUCAUGCGAAUGAAAGGAGGAGAGCGCCCUCAGCAGUUCUCAGGAACCCUAAUGCACGAAAGAACCCUAAUCAGCCUUGGCUGCUACCAUUCCCACGCGAUUGAGGAAAGAAAUGCCUAAGAAGAGCCAAAAUAUCCCUGUUGGUUCAUGGAGUUUUCCCCCUCACCUUAGAUAUGAGAUGUAUUUUGUUUCCUUCUCGAAGUGAAUGUAACAUUAUGAACCUGGAAUCAUUUAUAACCUAAGUUUGUUUUACUAGUAUUGAUGCAUGGUGAUGCUAAGCUGAUAGAUGUAUGCUAUGUUGUUUAAGUGCAAAGUUGUUCGUA